UACCAGCACCCCGAGUGGUCGGGACGAUUAUUGGGCCUAAAGCAUCCGUAGCCGGUCCUGCAAGUCUUCCGUUAAAUCCAGCUGCUCAACAGAUGGGCUGCGGGGAUACUACAGGGCUAGGAGGCGGGAGAGGCAAGCGGUACUUUAUGGGUAGGGGUAAAAUCCGUUGAUCCAUAGAAGACCACCAGUGGCGAAGGCGGCUUGCCAGAACGCGCUCGACGGUGAGGGAUGAAAGCUGGGGGAGCAAACCGG
rnacentral:rRNA from 1 species